rnacentral:rRNA from 1 species
UACAGGGGGGGCAAGCGUUGUUCGGAAUUACUGGGCGUAAAGGGCUCGUAGGCGGCCAACUAAGUCACACGUGAAAUCCCCAGGCUUAACCUGGGAACUGCGUGUGAUACUGGAUGGCUUGAAUUCGGGAGAGGGAUGCAGAAUUCCAGGUGUAGCGGUGAAAUGCGUAGAUAUCUGGAGGAAUACCGGUGGCGAAGGCGGCAUCCUGGACCGACAUUGACGCUGAGGCGCGAAAGCUAGGGGAGCGAACGGG